GAUGAACGCUAGCGGCAGGCUUAACACAUGCAAGUCGAGGGGCAGCGCGGGAUAGCAAUAUCCUGGCGGCGACCGGCGGAAGGGUGCGUAACGCGUGAGCGACAUGCCCGGUGCCCGGGGACAACCGGUGGAAACGCCGACGAAUCCCCGAUGGGAUACGAUGCUUCAUGGCAUUGUAUUGAAAGUUACGGCGGCGACGGAUUGGCUCGCGUCCGAGUAGCGGGUUGGCGGGGUAACGGCCCACCAAGGCUGCGAUCGGUAGGGGUUCUGAGAGGCAGGCCCCCCACAAUGGGACUGAGACACGGCCCCUCCUCCGACGGGAGGCUGCAGUGAGGAAUGUUGGUCAAGGGACGGAAGCCUGACCCCGCCGUGCCGCGUGCGGGAAGGAGGCCCUAUGUGCUGUGAACCGCUUUUGCCUGGGGGCAAUAAGGGCGUCGCGCACGUCCGAUGAGAGUACCAGGCGAAUAAGCAUCGGCUAACUCCGUG
rnacentral:rRNA from 1 species